ACCUUACUGUUGCCUCGGCGGAUCAGCCCGCUCCCGGUAAAACGGGACGGCCCGCCAGAGGACCCCUAAACUCUGUUUCUAUAUGUAACUUCUGAGUAAAACCAUAAAUAAAUCAAAACUUUCAACAACGGAUCUCUUGGUUCUGGCAUCGAUGAAGAACGCAGCAAAAUGCGAUAAGUAAUGUGAAUUGCAGAAUUCAGUGAAUCAUCGAAUCUUUGAACGCACAUUGCGCCCGCCAGUAUUCUGGCGGGCAUGCCUGUUCGAGCGUCAUUUCAACCCUCAAGCCCUCGGGUUUGGUGUUGGGGAUCGGCGAGCCUUUCUGGCAAGCCGGCCCCGAAAUCUAGUGGCGGUCUCGCUGCAGCCUCCAUUGCGUAGUAGUAAAACCCUCGCAACUGGAACGCGGCGCGGCCAAGCCGUUAAACCCCCAACUUCUGAAUGUUGACCUCGGAUCAGGUAGGAAUACCCGCUGAACUUAAGCAUAUCAAUAAGCGGA
rnacentral:rRNA from 1 species